rnacentral:rRNA from 1 species
GACGAACGCUGGCGGCGUGCUUAACACAUGCAAGUCGAACGGAAAGGCACCUUCGGGGUUCCUCGAGUGGCGAACGGGUGAGUAACACGUAGGUAACCUGCCCUUGCCUUCGUGAUGACUUCAGGAAACUGGGGCUAAUACCGGUUAGACAUCAUUGCUGCUUCGGGUGGGUUGGAAAGCUUCGGGGGGUUUGGGUGGACUAGUGGCUUAUCGGCUGAUUGGUGGGGUAGUGGCUUACAAGGGCUUGAACGCGUCGCCGGCCUGAGAGUGCGACAGGCCGCAUUGAGACUGAGAGGCGGCACAGACUGCGACGGGAGGCAGCAGUGGGGAAUCUUGAACAAGGGGCGGCAGGCGGAUGAAGCAGGGCUGCGUGCGGGAUGACGGCCUUGGGGUUGUAGAACGCUUUCAGCAGGAGCGAAGCUUGUGGUGACGGUACCUGCAGAAGAAGCACCGGCUAACUACGUG